rnacentral:tRNA from 1 species
GAGGGUAUAGCUCAGUGGUAGAGUGUCUGCUUAGCAAGCACAAGGCCCUGGGUUCAAUCCCCAGUACCUCCA